rnacentral:rRNA from 1 species
UGGGGAAUAUUGCACAAUGGGGGAAACCCUGAUGCAGCGACGCCGCGUGGAGGAAGAAGGUCUUCGGAUUGUAAACUCCUGUUGUUGGGGAAAAGAAGGAUGGUACCCAACAAGGAAGUGACGGCUAACUACGUGCCAGCAGCCGCGGUAAAACGUAGGUCACGAGCGUUGUCCGGAAUUACUGGGUGUAAAGGGAGCGCAGGCGGGUAUGCAAGUUGGGAGUGAAAUGCAUGGGCUCAACCCAUGAACUGCUCUCAAAACUGUGUAUCUUGAGUAGUGCAGAGGUAGGCGGAAUUCCCGGUGUAGCGGUGGAAUGCGUAGAUAUCGGGAGGAACACCAGUGGCGAAGGCGGCCUACUGGGCACCAACUGACGCUGAGGCUCGAAAGUGUGGGUAGCAAACAGGAUUAGAUACCCUCGU